CACAUGGAGAUAUAUCGGGAUAUUUAUUAAAUCCCCCUCCUAAGGGGCAGGUCGCAGGUUCGAAUCCUGCCCGGGACGCCA
rnacentral:tRNA from 2 species